UACGGAGGAGGCAAGCGUUAUCCGGAAUUAUUGGGCGUAAAGCGUCCGCAGGUGGCACUUCAAGUCUGUCGUCAAAGACUGGGGCUUAACCCUGGAAAGGCGGUGGAAACUGUGAGGCUAGAGUGCGGUAGGGGUAAGGGGAAUUCCCAGUGUAGCGGUGAAAUGCGUAGAUAUCAAGAGGAACACCUGAGGUGAAGACGGGUUGCUGGGCUGACACUGACGCUGAGGCGCGAAAGCUAGGGUAGCAAACGGG
rnacentral:rRNA from 1 species